rnacentral:rRNA from 1 species
GCUUGAUGAUGGAUUUCUUCGGAAAGAAAUCUGAUAUGACUGAGUGGCGGACGGGUGAGUAACGCGUGAGUAACCUGCCCUUAGGAAAGGGAUAGCGUCUGGAAACGGACGGUAAUACCAUAUAAAGUAUAUUAACGGCAUCGUAGAUAUACCAAAGCUGAGGCGCCUAAGGAUGGACUCGCGUCUGAUUAGAUAGUUGGUGGGGUAACGGCCUACCAAGUCGACGAUCAGUAGCCGGACUGAGAGGUUGAACGGCCACAUUGGGACUGAGACACGGCCCAGACUCCUACGGGAGGCAGCAGUGGGGAAUAUUGCACAAUGGGCGAAAGCCUGAUGCAGCAACGCCGCGUGAAGGAAGACGGUUUUCGGAUUGUAAACUUCUGUUCUUAGUGAAGAAUAAUGACGGUAACUAAGGAGCAAGCCACGGCUAACUACGUGCCAGCAGCCGCGGUAAUACGUAGGUGGCAAGCGUUGUCCGGAAUUACUGGGUGUAAAGGGAGCGUAGGCGGGAAGCCAAGUCAGCUGUGAAAACUACGGGCUUAACCUGUAGACUGCAGUUGAAACUGGCUUUCUUGAGUGAAGUAGAGGUUGGCGGAAUUCCGAGUGUAGCGGUGAAAUGCGUAGAUAUUCGGAGGAACACCGGUGGCGAAGGCGGCCAACUGGGCUUUAACUGACGCUGAGGCUCGAAAGUGUGGGGAGCAAACAGGAUUAGAUACCCUGGUAGUCCACACUGUAAACGAUGAUAACUAG